rnacentral:rRNA from 1 species
AUGAACGCUGGCGGCGUGCCUAAUACAUGCAAGUCGAGCGAACAGACGAGGAGCUUGCUCCUUUGACGUUAGCGGCGGACGGGUGAGUAACACGUGGAUAACCUACCUAUAAGACUGGGAUAACUUCGGGAAACCGGAGCUAAUACCGGAUAACAUGUUGAACCGCAUGGUUCAACAGUGAAAGACGGUCUUGCUGUCACUUAUAGAUGGAUCCGCGCCGCAUUAGCUAGUGGGUAAGGUAACGGCUUACCAAGGCAACGAUGCGUAGCCGACCUGAGAGGGUGAUCGGCCACACUGGAACUGAGACACGGUCCAGACUCCUACGGGAGGCAGCAGUAGGGAAUCUUCCGCAAUGGGCGAAAGCCUGACGGAGCAACGCCGCGUGAGUGAAGAAGGUCUUCGGAUCGUAAAACUCUGUUAUUAGGGAAGAACAAAUGUGUAAGUAACUAUGCACGUCUUGACGGUACCUAAUCAGAAAGCCACGGCUAACUACGUG